AUACGGAGGGUGCGAGCGUUAAUCGGAAUUACUGGGCGUAAAGCGUGCGUAGGCGGAUUAUUAAGCAAGAUGUGAAAGCCCAGGGCUCAACCUUGGAACUGCAUUUUGAACUGGUAGUCUAGAGUACUGUAGAGGGUGGUGGAAUUUCCAGUGUAGCGGUGAAAUGCGUAGAGAUUGGAAGGAACAUCAGUGGCGAAGGCGGCCACCUGGACAGAUACUGACGCUGAGGCACGAAAGCGUGGGGAGCGAACAGGAUUAGAAACCCUAGUAGUCC
rnacentral:rRNA from 1 species